rnacentral:rRNA from 1 species
CCUACGGGGUGCAGCAGUGAGGAAUAUUGGUCAAUGGGCGUAAGCCUGAACCAGCCAAGUCGCGUGAGGGAUGAAGGUUCUAUGGAUCGUAAACCUCUUUUAUAAGGGAAUAAAGUGUGGGACGUGUCCUGUUUUGUAUGUACCUUAUGAAUAAGGAUCGGCUAACUCCGUGCCAUCAGCCGCGGUAAUACGGAGGAUCCGAGCGUUAUCCGGAUUUAUUGGGUUUAAAGGGUGCGUAGGCGGCCUUUUAAGUCAGCGGUGAAAGUCUGUGGCUCAACCAUAGAAUUGCCGUUGAAACUGGGAGGCUUGAGUAUGUUUGAGGCAGGCGGAAUGCGUGGUGUAGCGGUGAAAUGCUUAGAUAUCACGCAGAACCCCGAUUGCGAAGGCAGCCUGCCAAGCCAUGACUGACGCUGAUGCACGAAAGCGUGGGGAUCAAACAGGAUUAGAUACCCGGGUAGUC